rnacentral:lncRNA from 1 species
GGCAUUUGGUCUGGAUAAAAUAACCCUUCAUGUUUGUAAGGCCUUGUUUACUUCACCCUCAACUCCCAACUUUGGCACUAUGCAAAAAGAAGAUUACCCAUCAUAUCAAACUUGCGGUACAUGCAUCGAGUACUAAAUGUAGAUGAAAUUAAAAACUAAUUGUACAGUUUUGUUGUACUUUGCGAGACGAAUCUUUUGAGCCUAAUUAGUCAAUGUUUGGAUAAUAAUUCACAAAUACAAACGAAACGCUACAGUGUGCUACAGUGGCAGCACAGUAAUUUGGCACAUCCCAAUUUGGCCAACUAAACAAGGCCUUAAGUAAAUUCGUGUACCAGGGCCAGCACACAGCAGUUGUGAAAGGGAGAAGAUGAAUUCAGAUUCAGAGUAAAGGGCAGGAAAAACAAUCAUAGUGUCAGGAUUCAGUACAGUUUAAUACGGCCACUUGCCGAAAUAGCUGAAGUGGGCUUUGCUUUGUCUAAUCGCUGUAACUUACUAAUACUGUUGAAUCAGUUACAAUAGAGUCUAAACACUAGUAGCAUGGUAAAUUGAACAGGACUAGCAUUGGGUUACACUAGGGGUAGAGUUUUUCUAAAAAUAUAAACGCUGAAUAAAUAACCUCUGACAGUUUUCGAAAUUAAGAGGCUAGCCUUUGUUGAGCUAUAGAAAUGGGUGAUGUCUAAUAUAAA